ACAUACGACCAUAGACUCAAGAGAAUUGGGCAUCCCGUCCGCUCUGCCAUACACAAGCUUGAGAUCGGUGGAUUAGUAGUUGGGUGGGUGACCACCAGCGAAUACCCACUGUUGUAUG
rnacentral:rRNA from 1 species